rnacentral:rRNA from 1 species
UACAGAGGUCUCAAGCGUUUGUUCGGAUUCAUUGGGCGUAAAGGGUGCGUAGGCGGCAGCGCAAGUCGGGCGUGAAAUCCCACGGCUCAACCGUGGAAGUGCACUCGAAACUGCGCAGCUAGAGUCCUGGAGAGGAAGGUGGAAUGCUUGGUGUAGAGGUGAAAUUCGUAGAUAUCAAGCGGAACACCGGUGGCGAAGGCGGCCUUCUGGACAGUGACUGACGCUGA